rnacentral:rRNA from 1 species
GGGAUCUUCGGACCUUUCGGUUGAGGGAGAGUCUAUGGGAUAUCAGCUUGUUGGUGGGGUAAUGGCCUACCAAGGCUUUGACGUCUAGGCGGAUUGAGAGAUUGGCCGCCAACACUGGGACUGAGACACUGCCCAGACUUCUACGGAAGGCUGCAGUCGAGAAUCUUUCGCAAUGGACGGAAGUCUGACGAAGCGACGCCGCGUGUGUGAUGAAGGCUCUAGGGUUGUAAAGCACUUUCGCUUGGGAAUAAGAGAAGACGGUUAAUACCCGUUGGAUUUGAGCGUACCAGGUAAAGAAGCACCGGCUAACUCCGUGCCAGCAGCUGCGGUAAUACGGAGGGUGCUAGCGUUAAUCGGAUUUAUUGGGCGUAAAGGGCGUGUAGGCGGAAAGGUAAGUUAGUUGUCAAAUCUCGGGGCUCAACCUCGAAUCGGCAUCUAAAACUAUUUUUCUAGAGGGUAGAUGGAGAAAAGGGAAUUUCACGUGUAGCGGUGAAAUGCGUAGAUAUGUGGAAGAACACCAGUGGCGAAGGCGCUUUUCUAAUUUAUACCUGACGCUAAGGCGCGAAAGCAAGGGGAGCAAACAGGAUUAGAUACCCUGGUAGUCCUUGCCGUAAACGAUGCAUACUUGAUGUGGAUGGUCUCAACCCCAUCCGUGUCGGAGCUAACGCGUUAAGUAUGCCGCCUGAGGAGUACACUC